rnacentral:rRNA from 1 species
ACGGUCCUAAGGUAGCGAAAUUCCUUGUCGGGUAAGUUCCGACCCGCACGAAAGGUGUAACGAUUUGGGCACUGUCUCAACGAGGGACCCGGUGAAAUUGAAGUACCUGUGAAGAUGCAGGUUACCCGCGACUGGACAGAAAGACCCCAUGGAGCUUUACUGUAACCUGAGAUUGGAUUCCGGUAAGAGAUGUACAGGAUAGUUGGGAGGCUGAGAAGUGAGUACGCCAGUAUUCACGGAGCCGCUGGUGGGAUACCAACCUUGUUUUAUUGGAAUUCUAACGAGAAGCGUAACGAGCUUGCGGACAGUCUCAGGCGGGCAGUUUGACUGGGGCGGUCGCCUCCGAAAGAGUAACGGAGGCGCCCAAAGGUUCCCUCAGCGCGGACGGAAACCGCGCGAAGAGUGCAAAGGCAGAAGGGAGCUUGACUGCGAGACGGACAGGUCGAGCAGGGACGAAAGUCGGGCUUAGUGAUCCGGUGGUAGAGAGUGGAAUUGCCAUCGCUCAACGGAUAAAAGCUACCCUGGGGAUAACAGGCUAAUCUCUCCCAAGAGUUCAUAUCGACGGGGAGGUUUGGCACCUCGAUGUCGGCUCAUCACAUCCUGGAGCUGGAGUAGGUUCCAAGGGUUGGGCUGUUCGCCCAUUAAAGUGGUACGCGAGCUGGGUUCAAAACGUCGUGAGACAGUUUGGUUCAUAUCCAUCGCGGGCGCAAGAAGUUUGAGGGAGGCUGCUCCUAGUACGAGAGGACCGGAGUGGACGGAUCAACGGUGUACCAGUUGUCACGCCAGUGGCACGGCUGGAAAGCCGCAUCCGGAAAGGAUAAACGCUGAAAGCAUCUAAGCGUGAAGCCCGUCCCAAGAUGAGACUUCUCAUCAGCAAUGAGUAAGACCCCUUAAAGACGAUGAGGUUGAUAGGCUGUGAGUGGAAGAGCCGCGAGGCUUGGAGCGACGCAGUACUAAUAGGUCGAGGUCUUAACUUA